rnacentral:lncRNA from 1 species
UAACGCCUGUUUCACUGCACCGGCGGCAGCAGUAGGAGCACAUACUUCCCUGUGCUCUUUCCUCUGUGCUCCCUGCUCUCACUAGCAUAGUAACCCACAUGAAUCAAGCAUGGAACGGGGCCGCACGGCGCCGUCGGCAGCAACUGCAGCCUUAACGAUCCCAGUCUUCUCCUCGCAGGCGAGGCGGCGUCAGAUGACUGACUCUCCGGCUUUGUGCACAGUGGAAGGGAAGCUCUCUCUCAGGAGGAACAGGAAUUUACGGGGCUCUCAUUUUGCUUGGAUUUGCGUCAGUAAAAGCUGAUUGCCCAGUACCACAGAGGAGUGCAAUCGAAUGAAGGGAAUUCCGAGGAGAAGAAAGGUCUGAUUGGUGCCUGCAGGUGUCAGCCACUCAGCGGAUUCACAACACAACGUGAACAGUCCCCCACUGGAGAUCCCUGGCAUUCACUGGAAAAAGACAGAUGGCGAAGAACAACCUCAGAAUGUGAUAUGAGCAAUGUGGAUGGAUGCAUUAGGGUUUACACCAGCCGACAGUGUGCCAGCCAGAGCCAGAAGUUGUAAAUCAACUCACUUUGAAUGACAUCUCCCCCAGACAGAAUUCCUGCUGAAUCAUCACAUCCAUGUUUUGUCAGGCCUAGGAUAGUGGACCGGAUUGGUUGAGCAUGCAUAUCAAUCAAUCAACUCCUGACCCAGGCUUUGACCUUGAGCUGGCUGGUGUACAAUAUGAAUAUACUGUUUGUAAGCACAUCUAUUAAAACCUUCUGGAGGGGACAAUUUCACACCACACUGACCAAUGGGAUUGUCUGAGUCAGCUGCUAACAGGAAGUAAAAACGUACAACUAAUGGCAUGAGGUAAGUGUGUGUGUGUGUGUGUGUGUGUGUGUGUGUGUGUGUGUGUGUGUGUGUGUGUGUGUGUGUGUGUGUGUGUGUGUGUGUGUGUGUUCAAGAGCCAGUGUACAGUAACACACUACAACGACCCACUUGCACUGUCCUGAUAUGCAGUUCAUACCUCUGUCAUCAAAUUCAAUUAUAUUCACCAUUCCACACACUUGCAAUGCUCAGAGACUUCUUUUAUGUGUGGAUAUUAUUUGAGGUUCUUGGUAGUUAUCAAAACAUAUGAGGGAGUCCUCUUAAAGAUGAUCAAUUGGGCAUGGU